rnacentral:tRNA from 1 species
CUUAGCUCAGUUGGUAGAGCGCCGCUCUUGUAAAGCGAAGGUCGUCGGUUCGAGUCCGACA